rnacentral:tRNA from 1 species
GGAGGUAUAGCUCAGUGGUGGAGCACGUGCUUAGCAUGCACAAGGUCCUGGGCUCCAUCCCCAGUACCUCCA